rnacentral:lncRNA from 1 species
CUCCAAAGCAACCAGUCUAUUUCACAACUUUGUCUUGUUUGCCAGCUUUAACAAAACGGUAAUGGCACUCUUCCUUGAAAACUGGAAUCUCAAUAGUCUUUUACCACAUACUGUAUAACAGUGCCUGGCCCUAUUCUAGGCACUCUUGAACUAAUGAAACACAGAUCUUAAAAUUUUAUGCAGAAGUUGUGGGAGGGGGAGAAAGACAAUGAUUAACAGAGUUUUAAGUACGGUAGGUAAGGGCAUCAGAGAUCAAGGGUAUAAACAUAAACACAAGCAAUGCUUUCAACUGCCAUCUUACACACACUACCUUCAUAGUGAAGGUACAUUUUCUAUCUCCAAACGUUACAUGCCUAAGGCUUCUCUCUCAUUUUAUUUGGUAGUAUCAGAUAGCAUUAUGUAACCCAUCCUGCCAAAUGACCUCUUCCUAGAUUUUAGCAAGCCUGAAUGUCUUUACCAGAUUGUUUUAUCAGUAACCUUCCCUCAUGACCAUACUUAAUAAACUGCUAUUAUUAUUCUAUUGUGCUCCUUAUUUUCUGUAUCUCAUUCCCCCAUUUCUCAACUUAAGCAUCCAGGCUUUCAAAAUUAUAGUUACAUCAAAACUAAAUAUUCCAUGAUUUGCUUAGUAACAAUUACUUCUAAUUCCUGUCUCUCCACUCUUACACUGAUCCAAAAACCCUUACAUUGUACCCUGCACAAACCCGAAACAUUCACUCACAGUAAUUUGAUUACAAGGCUGGUUAGUGGAUUUUCCAUUUAAUGCUCCCCAUGUUAUUUCAGGACCUAUUUAAAAGUAAUAACAAAAAGGAACAUAAUCCAAAAUUACAUGUUUUAUUUUCAUGUUUGUAAAACGAAGAGCUUUUUUCUGGAUGGUUUUCUUAUCAGCUUUUCACACAACAGUCAAGUAAACCUCGUGGCACUAGCCCUAGAAAAGGAAAAACACGAGAUUCUUACAAGACUACAAACAUUA